rnacentral:rRNA from 1 species
ACCUUUUGUAUAAUGGGUCAGCGAGUUACUUUCAGUGGCGAGGUUAACUGAAUAAGGGAGCCGUAGAGAAAUCGAGUCUGAAUAGGGCGAUAGUCGCUGGGAGUAGACCCGAAACCGGGCGAUCUAGCCAUGUGCAGGAUGAAGGUUGGGUAACACCAACUGGAGGUCCGAACCGGGUAAUGUUGAAAAAUUAUCGGAUGACGUGUGGCUAGGAGUGAAAGGCUAAUCAAGCCCGGAGAUAGCUGGUUCUCCCCGAAAGCUAUUUAGGUAGCGCCUCGUGAAUGAUUACUGGGGGUAGAGCACUGUUUCGGCUAGGGGGCUGUCAUGGCUUACCAAACCGAUGCAAACUCCGAAUACCGGCUAAUUGAAUCACGGGAGACACACGGCGGGUGCUAACGUCCGUCGUGGAGAGGGAAACAACCCAGACCGCCAGCUAAGGUCCCCAAGUACUAGUUAAGUGGGAAACGAUGUGGGAAGGCAUAGACAGCCAGGAGGUUGGCUUAGAAGCAGCCACCCUUUAAAGAAAGCGUAAUAGCUCACUGGUCGAGUCGGCCUGCGCGGAAGAUGUAACGGGGCUAAAACUAGUCACCGAAGCUGCGGAUGUGCGCGAAGGCGCACGUGGUAGGGGAGCGUUCUGUAGGCUGAUGAAGGUGCAUUGAGAAGUGUGCUGGAGGUAUCAGAAGUGCGAAUGCUGACAUGAGUAACGAUAAUGUGGGUGAAAAGCCCACACGCCGGAAGUCCCAGGUUUCCUGCACGACGUUAAUCGGAGCAGGGUGAGUCGGCCCCUAAGGCGAGGCUGAAGAGCGUAGUCGAUGGGAACCAGGUUAAUAUUCCUGGACUUUUUAUAAGUGGUGAAGUGGGGACGAAGAAGGCUAGGUGAGCCAGGCGUUGGUUGUCCUGGUACUUGCAUGUAGGGGGGAAGACUUGGCAAAUCCGGUUUUCCAUAACUCUGAGGUGCGAAGUGGUUCUGACCUUUUGGUACAGAGAAGUCAUUGAUGCCCGGCUUCCAGGAAAAGCUGCUAGCCAUAACUUAUAGAGAACCGUACCGCAAACCGACACAGGUGGACAGGUAGAGAAUACUAAGGCGCUUGAGAGAACUCGGGUGAAGGAACUAGGCAAAAUGGUACCGUAACUUCGGGAGAAGGUACGCCCUUUCUGGUGAUGGGAUUUACUUUCAGAGCUGGAGAGGGCCGCAGAGACCAGGUGGCUGCGACUGUUUAUUAAAAACACAGCACUCUGCAAAUUCGUAAGAAGACGUAUAGGGUGUGACGCCUGCCCGGUGCCGGAAGGUUAAUUGAUGGGGUUAUCUUCGGAGAAGCUCUUGAUCGAAGCCCCGGUAAACGGCGGCCGUAACUAUAACGGUCCUAAGGUAGCGAAAUUCCUUGUCGGGUAAGUUCCGACCUGCACGAAUGGCGUAACGAUGGCCACACUGUCUCCACCCGAGACUCAGUGAAAUUGAAAUCGCUGUGAAGAUGCAGUGUACCCGCGGCUAGACGGAAAGACCCCGUGAACCUUUACUAUAGUUUUGCACUGGACUUUGAUGAUGACUGUGUAGGAUAGGUGGGAGGCUGUGAAGUGAGGACGCUAGUUCUCAUGGAGCCGCCCUUGAAAUACCACCCUGUUGUUAUUGAGGUUCUAACUUGGUCCAGUAAUCCUGGAUGAGGACAGUGUAUGAUGGGUAGUUUGACUGGGGCGGUCUCCUCCCAAAGAGUAACGGAGGAGCACAAAGGUACCCUCGGUACGGUCGGACAUCGUACCAAGAGUGUAAAGGCAAAAGGGUGCUUGACUGCGAGAGUGACGGCUCGAGCAGGAACGAAAGUUGGUCUUAGUGAUCCGGUGGUUCUGAAUGGAAGGGCCAUCGCUCAACGGAUAAAAGGUACUCCGGGGAUAACAGGCUGAUACCGCCCAAGAGUUCAUAUCGACGGCGGUGUUUGGCACCUCGAUGUCGGCUCAUCACAUCCUGGGGCUGAAGCAGGUCCCAAGGGUAUGGCUGUUCGCCAUUUAAAGUGGUACGCGAGCUGGGUUUAGAACGUCGUGAGACAGUUCGGUCCCUAUCUGCCGUGGGCGUAGGAAAAUUGAGAGGAGCUGCUCCUAGUACGAGAGGACCGGAGUGGACGAACCUCUGGUGCACCGGUUGUCACGCCAGUGGCAUGGCCGGGUAGCUAAGUUCGGACGGGAUAACCGCUGAAAGCAUCUAAGCGGGAAGCCUCCCUCAAGAUGAGUUUUCCCAUGAAGCCCGUUGAAGACUACGACGUUGAUAGGCAAGGUGUGGAAGCGCAGUAAUGCGUGAAGCUAACUUGUACUAAUUGGCUGAUUG